GAUGAACGCUGGCGGCAUGCCUAAUACAUGCAAGUCGAGCGAACAGACGAGGAGCUUGCUCCUCUGACGUUAGCGGCGGACGGGUGAGUAACACGUGGAUAACCUACCUAUAAGACUGGGAUAACUUCGGGAAACCGGUGCUAAUACCGGAUAAUAUCUUGAACCGCAUGGUUCAAUAGUGAAAGACGGUUUUGCUGUCACUUAUAGAUGGAUCCGCGCCGCAUUAGCUAGUUGGUAAGGUAACGGCUUACCAAGGCAACGAUGCGUAGCCGAACUGAGAGGGUGAUCGGCCACACUGGAACUGAGACACGGUCCAGACUCCUACGGGAGGCAGCAGUAGGGAAUCUUCCGCAAUGGGCGAAAGCCUGACGGAGCAACGCCGCGUGAGUGAUGACGGUCUUCGGAUCGUAAAACUCUGUUAUUAGGGAAGAACAAAUGUGUAAGUAACUAUGCACGUCUUGACGGUACCUAAUCAGAAAGCCACGGCUAACUACGUG
rnacentral:rRNA from 1 species